rnacentral:rRNA from 1 species
AUCUACCUUUUACAGAGGGAUAGCCCAGAGAAAUUUGGAUUAAUACCUCAUAGUAUUAUGAAAUGGCAUCAUUUUAUAAUUAAAGUCACAACGGUAAAAGAUGAGCAUGCGUCCCAUUAGCUAGUUGGUAAGGUAACGGCUUACCAAGGCUACGAUGGGUAGGGGUCCUGAGAGGGAGAUCCCCCACACUGGUACUGAGACACGGACCAGACUCCUACGGGAGGCAGCAGUGAGGAAUAUUGGACAAUGGGCGCAAGCCUGAUCCAGCCAUGCCGCGUGCAGGAUGACGGUCCUAUGGAUUGUAAACUGCUUUUAUACGAGAAGAAACACUACUUCGUGAAGUAGCUUGACGGUAUCGUAAGAAUAAGGAUCGGCUAACUCCGUGCCAGCAGCCGCGGUAAUACGGAGGAUCCAAGCGUUAUCCGGAAUCAUUGGGUUUAAAGGGUCCGUAGGCGGUUUAAUAAGUCAGUGGUGAAAGCCCAUCGCUCAACGGUGGAACGGCCAUUGAUACUGUUAAACUUGAAUUAUUAGGAAAUAACUAGAAUAUGUAGUGUAGCGGUGAAAUGCUUAGAGAUUACAUGGAAUACCAAUUGCGAAGGCAGGUUACUACUAAUGGAUUGACGCUGAUGGACGAAAGCGUGGGUAGCGAACAGGAUUAGAUACCCUGGUAGUCCACGCCGUAAACGAUGGAUACUAGCUGUUGGAAGCAAUUUCAGUGGCUAAGCGAAAGUGAUAAGUAUCUCACCUGGGGAGUACGUUUCGCAGAAUGAAACUCAAAGGAAUU